rnacentral:lncRNA from 1 species
GACCAUCUAGCAAUGGUACCCGACAUCCGGAUAGGUCGAAUGGUCGCAAUCACAAUACUCAGAACCUACAUGAAUAUGGUUACUGUAUAAUUCAUCCUUUUGACCCCUGUGUUUAGGAUGACUCAUGGUUAAACUGUCAACCCUGAUCAGAUCAUUCGAAUCGUGCUCAACUCAAACAGUCCUGUGACUCCUCACAAGGACUACCCUGGCCAAGGUUUUGCUAAAUUGAAAUAUGACUGUACACAGCUCCUAAACUGGAGUGGUCAAUCUCAUCUUGACACACGCACCGACAAGUCAAGUACUUGACUACACCCAGCAGCCUUCCAUCACUGAAUUAAAAAUUCAGGUAGUCCAGUGCCUAAGUGCAGUGAGUUGCUUGCAAGUCACCGUGGCGGUCUCA